CGCAGAUCCCUUCCAUAUUCUCUCUCCUCUCUUGACCUUUCGUGUCUCGUCUCUCUGACUGGACAGCCGUCCCGCCGAUCUGCCGAUCUACUCUGCUCUUCCUUGUGGCCGCAUCAUCUCCCUGUGUGGUUUGAUGGAUAUAUCAGACACGGGCCUUGAUGCUCUGAAAAAAUGUGGGUAUGAACUUCUCCAUUUUUUGUGUCCCUAAUUACCUGACCUGUUCGCAACCAUACCAGAUGAUCAAGAGGCUAUGUUACAAAACAUUUAUUGAGCAACGUCCAUUUGCACCCGACAAAAACAGAUCAUCCACAUAGCAGUAGCCCUCACGUGUUCGUGGACAUGGUGCAUACCAGGAGACUGUCCAUCGCCUUGCCCGGCACCGGAUAAUUAUUUUGUUAUCUCUUUUCAAUUGUAUCUGCUGAUCGUUAUGAUUCUGUAUAUGACUGCAAACCUGAAACAAUGUGUCUUUGCUAAAAGUCUCCAUUAGAUUUAGUUCCAUGAUAUGUACAGUUGACAAGAAUAUUCAGCUAAUGGUGAUUUAGAUAAUACU